AUUGAACGCUGGCGGCAUGCCUUACACAUGCAAGUCGAACGGUAACAGGUCUUCGGAUGCUGACGAGUGGCGAACGGGUGAGUAAUACAUCGGAACGUGCCUAGUAGUGGGGGAUAACUACUCGAAAGAGUGGCUAAUACCGCAUAAGAUCUACGGAUGAAAGCAGGGGAUCGCAAGACCUUGUGCUACUAGAGCGGCCGAUGGCAGAUUAGGUAGUUGGUGGGAUAAAAGCUUACCAAGCCGAUGAUCUGUAGCUGGUCUGAGAGGACGAUCAGCCACACUGGGACUGAGACACGGCCCAGACUCCUACGGGAGGCAGCAGUGGGGAAUUUUGGACAAUGGGCGCAAGCCUGAUCCAGCAAUGCCGCGUGCAGGAUGAAGGCCUUCGGGUUGUAAACUGCUUUUGUACGGAACGAAAAGCCCUGGGUUAAUACCCUGGGGUCAUGACGGUACCGUAAGAAUAAGCACCGGCUAACUACGUGCCAGCCGCCGCAGUAACAC
rnacentral:rRNA from 1 species